rnacentral:rRNA from 1 species
AUGGAGAAAGUGGGGGCAGUUGCCUACAGACUACUGCUACCAGAUGACUGCCAACUCCAUCCAACAUUCCAUGUCAGCCAACUGAAGAAGCACAUAGGCCCUGAAGCCAUACCAAACCCCAAGCUUCCACUAUUGGAUGAACAAGGUCAUAUCUUAAUCCAACCUGAAGAUGUCCUCGAAAGAAAGUUGAUUCCACGAGUACAAGGAGACAUCAGCAUUCCGGUGGUACAAUGGCGCAUCAAAUGGCUCAAUCUGCCAAUGGAAAAUGCCACUUGGGAAGAUGCAGCGUUCAUACAGAAGGUUUUUCCUAGUUUCCAGCCUUGA